CCUGCGGAACUGCUGGCCCCUUAUACCGGUGAUAUCGCCGCUGAAGGAAUCAGCAAAGCCAUGCGCGGAGGCGCAAAGUUCCUGCAUCACGGCAUUAAGCGCCAGCAACGUUAUGUGGCGGAAGCCAUUACUGAAGAGUGGCGUAUGGCACCCGGUCCGCUUGAAGUGGCCUGGUUUGCGGAAGAGACGGCUGCCGUCGAGCGUGCUGUUGAUGCCCUGACCAAACGGCUGGAAAAACUGGAGGCUAAAUGA
rfam:Trichuris trichiura, WGS project CBXK01000000 data, contig: TTRE_1242